rnacentral:rRNA from 1 species
UUUACAGACCCGAACCCGGAUGAUCUAACCAUGGCCAGUGUGAAGCUUAGGUAACACUAAGUGGAGGUACCAACCGACUGUUGUUGAAAAAACAGCGGAUGAGUUGUGGUUAGGGGUGAAAUUCCAAUCGAAUCCGGAGCUAGCUGGAUCUCCCCGAAAUGCGUUGAGGCGCAGCGGUUAAUGUUUCUUCUUAGGGGUAAAGCUACUGUUUUGGUGCGGGCUGCGAGAGCGGUACCAAAUCAAGGCAAACUCUGAAUACUAAGACGUUUAGUUAACCAGUGAGACAUUGGGGGAUAAGCUUCAGUGUCAAGAGGGAAACAGCCCAGAUUACUAGCUAAGGCCCCUAAAUAAUUACUAAGUGGUAAAGGAGGUGGGAUUGCAGAGACAAUCAGGAGGUUUGCCCAGAAGCAGCAAUCCUUUAAAGAGUGCGUAAUAGCUCACUGUUCGAGUGAUCCUGCGCCGAAAAUGACUGGGACUAAGUAAUUUGCCGAAGCUGUAAGAUGUCAAAACAUCGGUAGGGGAGCGUUCUACAUUAGUUUGAAGCGUUAACGAAAGUGGGCGUGGACGAAGUAGAAGUGAGAAUGUUAGCUUGAGUAGCGAAAACAUUGGUGAGAAUCCAAUGCCCCGAAAACCUAAGGGUUCCUCCGGAAGGCUCGUCCGCGGAGGGUGAGUCAGGUCCUAAGGUAAGGCUGAAAAGCGUAAUCGAUGGAUAACAGGUUAAUAUUCCNGUACUGUUUAUUGUUGGUAAUGGGGGACGGAGAAGGCUANGCNGGCCGAAUGUUGGUUAUCGGUUUAAGUAUUCAAGGUGNUGAGGAACGGCGAAAACGUUCUGAGCUGAGAUANGAAUAGGACAGUNCUANGGNACUNAACCNGUUGAUGUCAUACUUCCAAGAAAAGCCCUAACUANCAUAAGCAAUAAAUACCUGUACCCUAAACCGACACAGGUGGGUAAGUAGAGUAUACUAAGGGGCGCGAGAUAACUCUCUCUAAGGAACUCGGCAAAAUAGCCUCGUAACUUCGGGAGAAGAGGUACCCUUAAUGGGUUGCAAGAACCAGACGCUGGCGACUGUUUAUCAAAAACACAGGUCUCCGCAAAGUCGUAAGACGAUAUAUGGGGGCUGACACCUGCCCAGUGCCGGAAGGUUAAGGAAGCUUGUUAGUCUUUGACGAAGCUCGCGACCGAAGCCCCGGUGAACGGCGGCCGUAACUAUAACGGUCCUAAGGUAGCGAAAUUCCUUGUCGGGUAAGUUCCGACCCGCACGAAAGGUGUAACGAUCUGCGUACUGUCUCGGAGAGAGACUCGGCGAAAUAGACUUGUCUGUGAAGAUGCGGACUACCUGCACCUGGACAAAAAGACCCUAUGAAGCUUUACUGUAGCUUGAUAUUGGCUCCGGGCUUUGUUUGCGCAGGAUAGGUGGGAGGCGUUGAAAAUUUUCUUGCGGGAAAGU